UCAAUGCGACCGCUUAGGAUGGAAGCCCUUCAAAUUAUCCCCGCGUGCUCUGACGGAUUUCUACGGCACUUGGCAAAAAAUUCUGUACUUUUCCAGAUGAGAAAGAAAGAAAAAGCGCCUCUCUGCCUCCUCGCCUCUGCAAGCGCCGUCUCAUUCCGAAGGAGGCAGGCACGGAGGUUCCGGGCUGUCACUUGGCGAGCUCAUUCCUGGGGUUCCAGUAGCAUCUGGAAGAUGUGAACAAGCCAGCUCUCCCCAUUAGGUGGUUCUGUGAGCACAGGAUCACAGGGAAAAGGAAUUUCCUCUGGAUAUUUGAUAAGAAGACUGAAGACUUAAGUCAGAUGUCUAUACAUUUUUCCAGUUUUUUCAACAACUUGGAGUGGGAUUAGAUUAGACUCUCUCCCAGGAAAAUACUGAAAAACAAUUUCAUCAAAAGGACAUGAUUUCAAUAUAAAAGAAAGUACUAACCCAAGGU